UACGUAGGGAGCGAGCGUUGUCCGGAUUCAUUGGGCGUAAAGAGCUCGUAGGCGGCUUGGCAAGUCGGGUGUGAAAACUCCAGGCUCAACCUGGAGACGCCACCCGAUACUGCCAUGGCUAGAGUCCGGUAGGGGACCACGGAAUUCCUGGUGUAGCGGUGAAAUGCGCAGAUAUCAGGAAGAACACCCGUGGCGAAGGCGGCUCUCUGGGGCGGUACUGACGCUGAGACGCGAAAGCGUGGGGAGCGAACAGG
rnacentral:rRNA from 1 species